CGGCCCCUUCCCUGCACUUCCGUAACACAACACGGACAGCCCUAAGGUAUCUUAACUGCCACAAAGAAGGAGCGGUACAACUUGGGAAUGCCCUGCGAGCCGAGCCCGGUGGGAUCUCCGGCCCUCACUGCCCUUGUCCUCCUUUAAAAAAUAAAGACAGGAAGCCUUUAUUUUUGGUUUUGCUGUGCACUGAUCCAAGAGGACAAGGGUGAGUCUUCAUUCUGGUGAAACAUCCAGGGUUUAAUUUUUCUUGGAAAGAAAGGAGCUCAGCAUCCCAUACAGAAAAUUCUUCAGGUAGAAGGAUGUCAGAAAGAUGGAUUUCCAAAGCCAACCGUCUCCUGAACCAUGUGGAGCUCUGCAAGCAGAUUCUCGUCUUUCAGUUUUAACUGCAUAAGAGGUAGAAGGGAAGAACACAUACGUCACACCUGACUUAGCUAUGUGGAGACUCCUUAUUUGUGGGGCCACAGCUAAAGAACAUAGUUCCUCAGGUUGGAAUUGACUCUUCCUAUAUUCUGUUUCAUGGUAACUCCAUUAAAAAGUCUCAGAACACUGUGCUGGUUACAUGGAAGUGUUCACUUUACAAAAAUUUACAUAGUAUGAAUGCUCACAAUUUGUACAUUUUUUGUGUAAAAAAAAAGUUUAUUUUUAAAAAGUUUACCCUAAUACCCAAAUAUAUUCUUAACUAAUGUAUAAUACUGUUUGGCAGGUGAGAGACAGGAAUAAAAUACAUAGGAAUCAAAACCAUUAGAUUUGAAUUUAAUUUUAAAGUCUCAAUGUGUAAUGGACACAUCUGGUUGCCUACAAAUCCACUCUCUUCUUUUACUAACAAAAUGUUCAUUUGUUUUCAGGACAGCAAUGUAAGCAACUAAAAAGCAACAGAGUAGCAGCAGCUAACAGUAAUUUCAAUUGUGAUCAAUGAAAUGUAAGCUAAAGUCACAUCUCUUUAAAGGGAGGUGAAAUAGCUAGUGUGGCCCUUUUGUCCUUUGCCUACUUUGUUCUUUACUGUACUUGAAAUAUGCAUGUGAUAGCUUCAGGUACAAUGGCUGUCUUGCAACUGUGAGGGCUGGAAACUUCAUGUUAUGACUGGUGAAGCAGAAAGAAAGAGGUUGGGUUUCUGUUAACACUGUGGAGCUGUGGUACCAGUAUGUUCUGGACUUUUCAUUAGAUGAGAAAAAAUAAAACUCCUAAUUUGUUUAAGCUACUGGCUUCCAAGUCACAUUAUUUGCAAUCAUAACCAAUAGACUAGACCAGGGAUUCACAAGCAAUAGCUCAUGAGCCAAAUCUAGCCUGCUGCCUGUUUUUGUUAAGUAAAGUUUUAUUCGAAAUACAGCUGUGCUCAUUGGUUUGCAUAUUGUCUGUAGCUGCUUUUGCACUACAAGGGCACAGUGUGGUAGCUACAAGAGAGACCACAGGGCCCACAAAUCCUAUUUUGCCUUUUACAGAAAAAUUUGCUGACUGCUGGACUAGAACACCACCUUCACUUUGUAUGUGAGGAUAAUGAGGCCCAUGGAGGGUAAAGAAAAGAUCUCCCAUGGUAAUAUGUGGGUUAUGGCAAAGAUGGUUAAGAAAGUCCUCUAGAAAAAUCUUCGUGUCGUGAAGUGCCGUGAAGUCAAGUCUUGAAUUAAGCCAGCACCUUCCUCCUAGCAUUCCCAAUGUCAGUAUAC